UUAAUACCGGAUAUGACGGGCCUGCGCAUGCGGGCUUGUGGAAAGUUUUUCGGCGCAGGAUGUGCUCGCGGCCUAUCAGCUUGUUGGUGGGGUAAUGGCCUACCAAGGCUUCGACGGGUAGCCGGCCUGAGAGGGUGACCGGCCACACUGGGACUGAGACACGGCCCAGACUCCUACGGGAGGCAGCAGUGGGGAAUAUUGGACAAUGGGCGGAAGCCUGAUCCAGCAACGCCGCGUGAGGGAUGACGGCCUUCGGGUUGUAAACCUCUUUCAGCACAGACGAAGCGCAAGUGACGGUAUGUGCAGAAGAAGGACCGGCCAACUACGUGCCAGCAGCCGCGGUAAUACGUAGGGUCCGAGCGUUGUCCGGAAUUAUUGGGCGUAAAGGGCUCGUAGGCGGUUUGUCGCGUCGGGAGUGAAAACCAGGUGCUUAACACCUGGCCUGCUUUCGAUACGGGCAGACUAGAGGCAUUCAGGGGAGAACGGAAUUCCUGGUGUAGCGGUGAAAUGCGCAGAUAUCAGGAGGAACACCGGUGGCGAAGGCGGUUCUCUGGGAAUGUCCUGACGCUGAGGAGCGAAAGUGUGGGGAGCGAACA
rnacentral:rRNA from 1 species